rnacentral:rRNA from 1 species
CCGUGUGGGAAAGGCGAAAAGAACCCCGUUUAGGGGAGUGAAAUAGAACCUGAAACCGUGUGCGUACAAGCAGUAGGAGCAGACUUGUUCUGUGACUGCGUACCUUUUGUAUAAUGGGUCAGCGACUUACAUUAUGUGGCGAGGUUAACCGAAUAGGGGAGCCGUAGCGAAAGCGAGUCUUAACUGGGCGUCCAGUCGCAUGAUGUAGACCCGAAACCCGGCGAUCUAUCCAUGAGCAGGUUGAAGGUUGAGUAACAUCAACUGGAGGACCGAACCCACUAAUGUUGAAAAAUUAGGGGAUGACUUGUGGAUCGGAGUGAAAGGCUAAUCAAGCCGGGAGAUAGCUGGUUCUCCUCGAAAGCUAUUUAGGUAGCGCCUCGGACGAAUACCACAGGGGGUAGAGCACUGUUUCGGCUAGGGGGUCAUCCCGACUUACCAACCCCAUGCAAACUCCGAAUACCAGUGAGUACUAUCCGGGAGACACACGGUGGGUGCUAACGUCCAUCGUGAAGAGGGAAACAACCCAGACCGCCAGCUAAGGUCCCUAAAAUUGGCUAAGUGGGAAACGAAGUGGGAAGGCUAAAACAGUCAGGAUGUUGGCUUAGAAGCAGCCAUCAUUUAAAGA